UUUCUCCUUUAGCUGACCACAGAUGAAAACAAAAUCUAUAAUGGCAGUGCUGGGUUUUAUAAAAAACGCAAGCAUGGAGUUGAAGGAUGUGGCUUGUUCUGUUUGGAUGAUGCAGGAUUGCUUUAAGCAGUAAGCUUACUGUUUUCAGAUGGCAUUAGCAGCAUCAGUGAUAUAGCUGUGUCAGCCUCCUUGUCUACUGGAUGUCUGUAACUGCACGGAGGAAACUAUAUUUAAGAUCUGAUAUCUGGAGGGUAAUGACUCCAGCACUUACUGAUGGACAGAAUGGCUGUUAAUGCUUUCUUUGCUAGCCCAGAAGAUUUUGAGAGGUAGAUGGAUUUGUGAUGCACUUUUGUAAGACAGGAAAUGCAAUUUUUGGGGGUCUCUGGAAAUAGAAAGGUCAUGCAGCUUGGAACCGGUGAGACAUUACAGUCUUUAAGUCAUCAGAGAAAUGAUGAAGAAGCUGUUGUGGAUAGAGGUGGAACUCGCUCCAUUCUCAAAACUCAUUUUGAAAAGGAAGAUCUAGAAGGUCAUCGAACAUUGUUCAUUGGCGUUCACGUGCCACUGGGUGGAAGAAAAAGUCACAGGCGCCAUAGGCACCGUGGACAUAAACACAGAAAAAGAGACAGAGAACGAGAUUCAGGAUUAGAAGAUGGGAGAGAGUCUCCUCCUUUUGAUACUCCAUCACAAAGAGUACAGUUUAUUCUUGGAACAGAAGAUGAUGAUGAAGAACACAUUCCUCAUGAUCUCUUUACUGAGCUUGAUGAGAUUUGUUGGCGUGAAGGAGAGGAUGCUGAGUGGAGGGAGACAGCAAGGUGGUUGAAGUUUGAAGAAGAUGUAGAAGAUGGUGGGGAAAGGUGGAGCAAACCAUAUGUUGCCACACUGUCACUUCAUAGCCUGUUUGAGCUGAGAAGCUGUAUCCUGAACGGCACAGUUUUGUUGGACAUGAGAGCUAACUCCAUAGAAGAAAUUGCAGAUAUGAUUCUGGACCAGCAGGUGGGCUCUGGGCAGCUCAGUGAGGAUGUUCGUCAUAGAGUGCAUGAAGCAUUACUGAAACAGCAUCACCAUCAGAACCAGAAGAAACUGAGCAAUAGGAUCCCGAUUGUGAGAUCCUUUGCUGAUAUUGGAAAGAAGCAGUCUGAGCCACAUUCCAUGGAUAAAAAUGCAGGUCAGAUUGUUUCCCCACAAUCUGCUCCAGCCUGUGUUGAGAACAAAAAUGAUGUGAGCAGAGAAAACAGCACUGUUGACUUUAGCAAGGUUGACUUGCACUUCAUGAAAAAGAUACCACCUGGAGCUGAAGCAUCCAACAUCUUAGUUGGUGAGCUGGAAUUCCUGGACCGUGCAGUUGUUGCUUUUGUUAGGUUAUCGCCUGCAGUGCUGCUUACAGGACUAGCUGAAGUUCCAAUUCCAACUAGAUUUUUGUUUAUUCUUCUUGGGCCAUUGGGUAAAGGGCAACAGUAUCAUGAGAUUGGAAGAUCAAUUGCAACACUGAUGACAGAUGAGGUGUUCCAUGAUGUUGCUUACAAAGCAAAAGACCGCAAUGACUUGGUGUCUGGAAUUGAUGAGUUUCUUGAUCAGGUUACAGUUCUCCCUCCUGGAGAAUGGGACCCAACAAUACGAAUAGAACCACCUAAAAAUGUUCCUUCUCAGGAGAAGCGUAAGAUUCCGGGAGUACCAAAUGGGACUGCAGCUCAUGGGGAGCCAGAACAUCCUGGUGGACACUCUGGACCAGAACUGCAACGCACUGGAAAAUUUUUUGGUGGAUUGAUUUUAGAUAUAAAAAGAAAGGCUCCAUUCUUCUGGAGUGACUUCCGGGAUGCCCUCAGUCUGCAGUGUCUGGCAUCGUUUUUGUUUCUCUACUGUGCUUGCAUGUCUCCUGUCAUCACAUUUGGUGGUCUACUGGGAGAAGCAACUGAAGGUCGUAUAAGUGCAAUAGAAUCACUGUUUGGAGCAUCCAUGACUGGAAUUGCCUACUCUCUCUUUGGUGGACAGCCUCUCACUAUACUUGGCAGCACAGGACCAGUUCUAGUGUUUGAGAAGAUUUUAUUCAAAUUUUGCAAAGAGUAUGGGUUAUCAUACCUUUCCCUGAGAGCUAGCAUUGGACUGUGGACUGCAAUCCUGUGCAUCAUCCUUGUUGCAACUGAUGCAAGCUCCCUAGUCUGUUACAUUACCCGAUUUACUGAAGAAGCUUUUGCUUCUCUUAUCUGCAUAAUUUUCAUUUAUGAGGCCUUAGAGAAGCUAUUUCAUCUCAGUGAGACAUAUCCAAUCAACAUGCAUAAUGAUUUGGACCUGCUGACCAAGUACUCAUGCAAUUGUGUGGAACCAGAGCAUCCUAGCAAUAAAACCUUACGAUACUGGCAGGACUACAAUAUAUCUGCAUCUGAUGUGCCAUGGGGGAACCUCACUGUGUCAGAAUGUAAAAAGUUUCAUGGAGAAUUUGUUGGACGAGCCUGUGGUCACCAUGGCCCUUAUGUUCCAGAUGUCCUUUUCUGGUCUGUCAUCUUAUUCUUUUCUACAGUAACUCUGUCGUCCACACUGAAGCAGUUCAAAACUAGCCGAUACUUCCCAACAAAGGUACGAUCUGUUGUCAGCGAUUUUGCUGUCUUUCUCACUAUUUUGUCCAUGGUUUUAAUUGACUAUGCCAUUGGGAUCCCAUCACCAAAACUUCAAGUUCCAAAUGCUUUUAAGCCCACCAGAGAUGAUCGAGGAUGGUUUAUUACUCCUUUGGGGCCUAACCCUUGGUGGACAGUGAUAGCUGCUGUAAUUCCAGCCCUGCUUUGCACUAUCCUUAUUUUUAUGGACCAGCAGAUUACAGCUGUCAUUAUAAACAGAAAAGAGCAUAAACUAAAGAAAGGGUGUGGAUAUCAUCUGGACUUACUCAUGGUGGCAGUCAUGCUUGGAGUGUGUUCCAUUAUGGGAUUGCCAUGGUUUGUUGCAGCCACUGUCCUCUCAAUUUCCCAUGUGAACAGCUUGAAACUGGAAUCAGAGUGUUCUGCUCCAGGGGAACAGCCAAAAUUUCUUGGAAUCCGGGAGCAAAGAGUCACAGGGCUCAUGAUUUUUGUACUUAUGGGCUCAUCUGUCUUUUUGACAAGUAUUCUGAAGUUUAUCCCUAUGCCAGUACUUUACGGGGUAUUCCUUUACAUGGGUGCUUCAUCUCUAAAGGGAAUUCAGCUUUUUGACAGGAUAAAAUUAUUCUGGAUGCCUGCAAAGCAUCAGCCAGAUUUUAUUUAUCUGAGGCAUGUUCCUCUUAGAAAAGUCCAUCUCUUCACUGUAAUUCAGCUGAGUUGUCUUGUACUCCUGUGGAUUAUAAAGGUUUCAAGAGCUGCCAUUGUCUUUCCCAUGAUGGUCUUAGCUUUGGUAUUUGUCCGAAAACUAAUGGAUUUCUUUUUCACGAAACGGGAGCUCAGUUGGUUAGAUGAUUUGAUGCCUGAGAGCAAGAAAAAGAAACUAGAAGAUGCUGAGAAAGAGGAAGAACAAAGUAUGUUAGCAAUGGAAGAGGAAGGGACUGUUCAGUUGCCACUAGAAGGACAUUACAGAGAUGAUCCAUCUGUGAUAAACAUUUCUGAUGAGAUGGCAAAAACUGCUGUGUGGAAGACAUUGUUAAUAUCCUCGGAGAAUGCAAAAGAUAAGGAGUCAAGCUUUCCUUCUAAAAGCUCCCCUUCCUAAUCAAUCUAGAAGCUGAUUCCCCAAAGUUAAGGAAUAAUUCCAAUGAAAACUGUGCUGAAAUCAGACAAGAGAAGAAAGCUGACUCAGGGAAAGGUGUCGACAGAGAGACUUGUCUGUGACUUGUUCUACAAUUAUUUUUUUUUACAAAUGAAUGAAAGGAGUGCCACAGCCACUAGAUAGAACUGAUAUGAUCUUGUAACUUUUGUCUUUCAUCUCAAACUAGCACAGGUAACGUAGCGCAAUGUUUGUCUCAUUACCCUUUGUCUAAACGUCUACAUUGUGUGCUAUCUGUGCAAAAGUCCAUGGUAGCCAAUGCCAAAAAUCUUCAUUUCCUUUGCUGGUGUUGGCCAUUUAUCAGUAUUCAUAUCAUAAAUUUAACAAAGUUUCUUUCGAAUUCAACGUACCUGUUAAUAUGUUUGUACUGUAUUUUGCUACUUUUCCUGUGUGAGAAAACUUAAUCUUUGCUGAAGUUGAACUUGAAACAGUUGUUCCAAUUUAUUUAUUUUUUUUAAAUCAUUUUACUGGAUGAAGAGAUUUUAGGAGACCCAACUUGACUAGUUGAGAUUAAAGAAGAUUUUAAAGUUAGAACUGAUCUGACCCUGUGAACAAACUCACAAGUGUAAUCCUUUUCUCCUCAAAUUGUCAUUCUGAAGUCAUGGAUUACUCUUGCAAUGGAGACUGCAGAGUCAGAUUCUGUAUUUGUGCAGUUUUUCUUGAUUUAAUACAGUGUAUUUAAUAUACAAAUUUGUAUGUAACUGGAACAUAGUCAUAUAUAUUAUAUAUAUAAAAAAUAUCUAUUAUAAACAUUCAUCACCUUAGUUGAAAAAUACCACCACAUCCUUUGAUGUGAAACAUUGGUAAGGUAUUUGUAAAAAUGCAAUCUGUGAUUACAGUAUCUUGUAUUGUAUGAAUGUCACCGUGGUAGGCCAAAUAACUGCAUUACAGCAUUACUGAAUUCAUUAUUUCAUAAUACGGAAAGUUUUGUAGAUGUAAACUCUAUCCCCCGUGCCAUUAUAUCACCUGCCCAAUGAUUUUCCUCUUCUUUCCUAAAAUGCACCCGCUUAAGUUGAUAUUUCUAUGGUUUUGUCUCUACUAACAAAUGUGGAACUCUUUAAUUCCAUAGACUGCGUGUACUUAAAUGCGUAUCCUGCUACUGGUUUUGUUACAGCCAUUUUAACUAUUCCAUAAAGUACAUAUUGAUGAAAAGAUUUAAAACAGCAUUGCAAAGUUAAAUGCAGCUUUAAGCCCUUUGCAAACACAUUCAUAACCAGUUUUCUCAUUACCUGAUCCUUCAGGCUGUUCUUUUGUGUGAAACAUGGACUGUGAGCUUCAGUACUGAAUUAAUAAGACAUUUACGGAUUAUUUGCAAUUUACUAAUUUUUAAUUUUUUUUUUAGAUAAAUUUUUAAAUGAUUAAAUGAAGACUAACUGUCACUACAGUUCUGAAUCCUAUGAAUGAGAAUCCACACCAUUGUGAUCAUUACAGCAACUCAGUGACAGGGCUUUAACAUUCCCUAGCUUUCCAAAAGACGCAAACGCUCGAACAGUCCGAAUGUGAAUAAUUUUUCAUAUCUAGUACAUUUAAAGUAUUCCUUCUACUGUUUUGGUGUGCGAGUCUAUAUUUCCUUUUUACUACUUCAGCCAUAAACAAUAACUGCUUUUUGCUGCAAACCAUUAGGGUUACUGUUCUACGUUUUUCCCUAGCAUUAUCAAAGCCCACUUAAAGGCCAUUUUUAUGGGGGAGAAACAUCUAAUGGACACAAAGAAGGAUUUGCAUUUAAUUAAGUGUUUGUAUUUAUGAAUUUAGGAAAAAAAAAAUGCCAAUACAUUAAAGUUAAAUGCUUUGUUUUGUGUAAUUGAUGAUAAAUUGUAAGAUUCCAAUUGUUUUAAGGUUAGUUAGAAGUUCAAUACUGGUUUGUCCUGAAAGCAGCCUGGUGGUGUUUUAAUAUGUUGCUGACUUUGUUUCAGGUAAUAUAUGCGAUCAAAAUGUAUUAGUUUCACUUGACCAACUCUUAGAAUAUUAAGAAAUCAGUGUACUCAAUGGCAUUCUGUAUUUUGUUCAGUAUUCCAGAGUGUUUUAUUUUUUUUAAACAGUCACUCUAUUCUUGUGUGAAUUUAAAUGCUAUUCUGAUGUUAAUCUCAACAUUCUGAAUCACACACAAUAUAAAGAAAAUGUAGUGCUAUAUUUACUUCUAAUUUCAUAUUCUUGCUCAAAAUUACUUAAAUUCUUGGAUGUAAUUUAUUACAAAAGUUUAUGUGUACAUGUGAAUAGACUAUUGUGUUUUUCACAAUUAAGAAAUGUUACGUGAAAAUAAAUAUUUAUCCUAACUAAU